rnacentral:rRNA from 1 species
UACCUGCAGCUCGAGUGGUAACCGCUAUUAUUGGGCCUAAAGCGUCCGUAGCCGGUUUGGUAAAUAUCUGGGUAAAUCGUGAGGCUUAACUUCACGAAUUUCGGAUAGACUGCCAGACUUGGGAUCGGGGGAGGUCAGAGGUACUCCAGGGGUAGCGGUGAAAUGUUGUAAUCCUUGGAGGACCACCGGUAGCGAAGGCGUCUGACUAGAACGAGUCCGACGGUGAGGGACGAAGCCCUGGGGCGCAAACCGGAUUAGAUACCCGGGUAGUCCAGGGUGUAAACGAUGUGGGCUUUGUAUUGGAGGUCCCACGUGGGCGUCCAGUGCAGAAGAGAAGUUGUUAAGCCCACCGCCUGGGAAGUACGGUCGCAAGGCUGAAACUUAAAGGAAUUGGCGGGGGAGCACAGCAACGGGAGGAGCGUGCGGUUUA